UACGUAGGCAGCAAGCGUUGUUCGGAAUUACUGGGCGUAAAGAGUGUGUAGGCGGUGCUCUAAGUUUGGUGUGAAAUCUCCCGGCUCAACUGGGAGGGUGCAUCGAAAACUGGGGUGCUCGAGGGUGGGAGAGGUAAGCGGAAUUCCUGGUGUAGCGGUGAAAUGCGUAGAUAUCAGGAAGAACACCCGUGGCGAAAGCGGCUCUCUGGAACGGUACUGACGCUGAGACGCGAAAGCGUGGGGAGCGAACAGG
rnacentral:rRNA from 1 species